rnacentral:rRNA from 1 species
CGAGAUAUCUGGUUGAUCCUGCCUGAACUGAUGUGUUCAUUUCAAAGAUUAAGCCAUGCAUGUAUAAGUUUAAUCGUUUUAACGAGAAACCGCGAACGGCUCAUUACAAUGGCCAUGAUUUACUUGAUCUUGAUUAUCUAAAUGGAUAACUGUGGAAAAGCUAGAGCUAAUACAUGCACCAAAGCUUUGUCCUCUCGGAAAAGCGCAUUUAUUAGAACAAAACCACGCGGCUUCGGCUGCUUCUUGUUGACUCAGAAUAACUAAGCUGACCGCAUGGCCUUGUGCCGGCGGCGUGUCUUUCAAGCGUCCACUUUAUCAACUUGACGGGAGCAUAAUCGACUCCCGUGGUGGUGACGGAUAACGGAGGAUCAGGGUUCGACUCCGGAGAAGGGGCCUGAGAAAUGGCCACUACGUCUAAGGAUGGCAGCAGGCGCGCAAAUUACCCACUCUCGGCUCGAGGAGGUAGUGACGAGAAAUAACGAGAUCGUUCUCUUUGAGGCCGGUCAUCGGAAUGGGUACAAUUUAAACCCUUUAACGAGUAUCAAGCAGAGGGCAAGUCUGGUGCCAGCAGCCGCGGUAAUUCCAGCUCUGCUAAUACAUAGAAUUAUUGCUGCGGUUAAAAAGCUCGUAGUUGGAUUCGUAUCGGUACCCUGGAACCCUCCGGGUGUUUCUGGGUGUUAUCGAUUUAUCGUAAUGUUCGGUUUUGAGUCCUUAACAGGAUUCUUAACAGGCAUUGCAAGUUUACUUUGAACAAAUCAGAGUGCUUCAAACAGGCGUUUUCGCUUGAAUGAUCGUGCAUGGAAUAAUAGAAAACGAUUUCGGUUCAGUUUUAUUGGUUUUACGGACUGAGAUAAUGGUUAACAGAGACAAACGGGGGCAUUUGUAUGGCCCCGUGAGAGGUGAAAUUCUUGGACCGUGGCCAGACAAACUACAGCGAAAGCAUUUGCCAAGAAUGUCUUCAUUAAUCAAGAACGAAAGUCAGAGGUUCGAAGGCGAUCAGAUACCGCCCUAGUUCUGACCGUAAACGAUGCCAACUAGCGAUCCGCCGAUGGAAAUUAUAUUGCCUUGGUGGGGAGCUUCCCGGAAACGAAAGUCUUCCGGUUCCGGGGAAGUAUGGUUGCAAAGCUGAAACUUAAAGGAAUUGACGGAAGGUCAAUUGACGGAAGGUCAAAUCGAUAGGCCAAUGGCGCGAAGCUACCGUCUGAGGGAUUAUGACUGAACGCCUCUAAGUCAGAAUCCCGCCCAGUCAUGAUAGCAAUAUAUAUCGCUCUCCGGUGUCGGAAGGCAAAAUGUAUGCCACUUUUUGUGGUAGUACAAGCCCCAGUAUCUGGCAUUUUCCUUCUACUAUAAUAGUUGGUUGCUAAAAGCUUAGCACUCCUCGUGCAGGUGUAACGUCGGGGCGCAAAAUCACUUGUAUACGACUUGAAUACUGGUCAGGGGGUUGUAUCCAGUAGAGCAGCUCUUCGCUGCGAUCUGUUGAGACUUAGCCCUUGAUCGGAUGAUUUGUCUUUUUUAUACACUAUAGACCUGUUUAUUAAGGAAUUAUGGCCGUCCCCGCUUAGAGGCUAAUGAGUAAAUACAAUAUAACCGAUGUGCCAAAAUUGCAAACAGUUGUGUCCAAUCAGUGCAUGUUGGAAUUUAAUGUGGAUCGAGUCUGUUUUUACGGGGGUACUAAGUACCAACUGUAUACGAAAUAACGACCCAUUUUUUUGUACAAGCUUCGUAUAUCCGUUCAACGAUUGCUUUACUAUGCCUGUUUAAAUUUGCAAAUUAAGUUUAAAAAAAUGAGUAAAUACAUUUUAAAAGUCCGAUUAUUAUUUCGGACUUUAUUAUUUUUACUUAUUAUCCGAUUAUUAUUUUUCCGGGUACUCCAACUUCCCUUAAAUGCAGACACGAAUUAAGCGUAAACGGCAAAAGCUUAAAAGAGUAAAUCGGCCAUCGUAAACCGAAUCGUGAACACCUGGCCAUUUGCAGCUAAAUGAGUAAAUACAAUAUAACCGAUGUGCCAAAAUUGCAAACAGUUUGUGUCCAAUCAGUGCAUGUUGGAAUUUAAUGUGGAUCGAGUCUGUUUUUUAUAUGACAAAAAGUACCUGGGGAUUUACUACUA